rnacentral:rRNA from 1 species
GAUGAACGCUAGCUACAGGCUUAACACAUGCAAGUCGCGGGGCAGCAUGGGGGUUGCUUGCAAUCCCUGAUGGCGACCGGCGCACGGGUGAGUAACGCGUAUCCAACCUGCCCUUCACCACGGGAUAACCCGGCGAAAGUCGGACUAAUACCUUAUGUUGUCCAUUGACGGCAUCCGAUUUGGACGAAAGGCUUAGCGGUGAGGGAUGGGGAUGCGUCCGAUUAGCUUGACGGCGGGGUAACGGCCCACCGUGGCUACGAUCGGUAGGGGUUCUGAGAGGAAGGUCCCCCACACUGGAACUGAGACACGGUCCAGACUCCUACGGGAGGCAGCAGUGAGGAAUAUUGGUCAAUGGGCGUAAGCCUGAACCAGCCAAGUAGCGUGCAGGAUGACGGCCCUAUGGGUUGUAAACUGCUUUUAUGCGGGGAUAAAGGGACCCACGUGUGGGUUUUUGCAGGUACCGCAUGAAUAAGGACCGGCUAAUUCCGUG